rnacentral:misc_RNA from 1 species
AUUCAUUUGUGAAUAAGAAUGAAAGGGCUAGAAGCGAGUGCUUCUAGCUGCUUCGCCUGCUUCUUAUUAUGAUGGCUAUGUUGGCGUGGCGAAAAUGAACGAAAAGCGAUAUGAACGUGCUAUUUUAUUUUCAAAUCGAUUGAUAGAAGCCUGCUGAUCUGUUCUGAUAGAUCAAAAGAGUAGGAAUGGAUAGAGAGGGAAUCUAUCAAUAAUAAGGGGAAAUCCCCUAUUUCUAUCUAUUGAUGAGACAACUAUCUUUUUUUGAUCCAUCAGAAAGAAAUCGAUAUGUAUCUGAUGGAGUCUACAUCGUACGUAGAGCGCCUAAGCGCUUUUUGGGCCAGCUCAGUUCUCUUAUCCAUCGGUCCAAUGCACUGGGCUCAUCUCAUGGAGGGAAAAGCCAAAAUGUAGUUGUCUUGUUGUUGUUCGCCGCCUCGACGCAUUCCCUUCUCUCCCCGGCAUCGUCCCACACAGAAAGAAAGAGCGCAGAGCCCCGGCCCGACCUGUAGGUCCGCUAACGUAAAGCGAGGAGUUGAGCCUGAACUGGCGAACCGAAGUCACUUUCGGAACCAUACUUCCUACAGCUAACACGUGUCCAGUCCAGCGGGAACGCGCAGCGCAAACGAACGUGAGCUGCUAUACCGAAUCCCCCGCUGGCCAUCGGGGACCGAGUGGUAAGGCCAUGAUCUGCAGGGGAACGGAUCACUCAUUCUUCCAUUGGGGACAGGUGCACGAACGACAACUCCAAACGUCACACAUCCGCCGCCUACCUACCGUUUAGGUGGCACCAGCGAGAUCCAGCUAAGGUAAGGAACUUCGUGUCGCGGCUGCUCCACUCCGCC